GUCCUUAGUUACCAGCACGUUAUGGUGGGCACUCUAAGGAGACUGCCGGUGGACAAACCGGAGGAAGUGGGGAUGACGUCAAGUCAUCAUGGCCCUUACGGCCUGGGCUACACACGUGCUACAAUGGUCGGUACAAAGGGUUGCCAAGCCGCGAGGUGGAGCUAAUCCCAUAAAACCGAUCGUAGUCCGGAUCGCAGUCUGCAACUCGACUGCGUGAAGUCGGAAUCGCUAGUAAUCGUGAAUCAGAAUGUCACGGUGAAUACGUUCCCGGGCCUU
rnacentral:rRNA from 1 species